UACAGAGGGGGCAAGCGUUAUUCGGAAUUACUGGGCGUAAAGUGUGCGCAGGCGGCUGCGCAAGUCGAGUGUGAAAGCCCCGGGCUUAACUUGGGAAUUGCGCUCGAAACUACGUGGCUGGAGUAUGGCAGAGGAAGGUGGAAUUCCACGUGUAGCGGUGAAAUGCGUAGAGAUGUGGAGGAACACCGAUGGCGAAGGCAGCCUUCUGGGCCAAUACUGACGCUCAUGCACGAAAGCGUGGGGAGCAAACAGG
rnacentral:rRNA from 1 species